GGAAGCUUGGCAGAGUGGUUGAAUGCACCGGUCUUGAAAACCGGCGAAGGGUUAAACCUUCCGUGAGUUCGAAUCUCACAGCUUCCGCCA
rnacentral:tRNA from 1 species